UGUGUCCCAGAGACUUUGAACACUGUCAGUGUUAUCUUUGCAUCUUUAAUGCUUCCUUUUACACUUAUAAUGUGUCAGCUAGGGAAUAUGUUUUCUCUACUAGUAUAGUCACCAGAAACUCUUUAAUAAAAAUUAUUGUUAGUUGAGCCUGGAAUCCCAUGGAAUAUGUAUAUUUCAUAUUUUAUGUGAUAUUUUUUUUUUUCAAAUUUUCUGGUAUAUCUUAUGUUCUCUUGUGAAUUUGCAGUUGUUGAGCUUCCUAUAUAAGAUG
rnacentral:misc_RNA from 1 species